AUGGCGCAUUUCAUUCUCUGUGCAAAGACAAAUGAUGCCCAUCACAUCGCCAAACUAUUUUUCAAAGGAGAUAGUACGCCUUCAUGGAUUGCCAAGGUCUAUUGUCUCAGAUCGUGAUGCAAAGUUCAUGAAUGCCAAACAACCCCUUCGAGAUCUUCGUCUUCUACAGCCUCGUCUCUCUCGUCCCAUCUGGCAAUGGUCGAAUUGAAGCAGCGAAUCCUCAAUUCCCUCUCCAAGCUCGCCGACCGCGACACGCAUCAGAUCGCUGUGGAGGACCUCGAGAAGACAAUCCAUUCCAUCUCAAAUGACGGCAUCUCAAUGCUUGAAUUGCCUCUGCGACGCCGUCAAUGACCCCAAGCCCGCCGUGAAGAAGGAGAGCCUCCACCUGCUCGCCGCUCUCUGAGCCGCCCACACCGAUCCUGCCGCCACUCACCUCACUAAAAUUAUUUCCCACAUUGUCAGGAGGCUCAAGGAUUCCGAUUCCCAGGUUAGGGACGCGUGUCGCGACACCAUUGGCUCCCUGGCGAGGCUGUACUUGAAGUGCGGCGGUGGCGCCGGAGAUGGCGCUGUUUCGCUCUUUGUUAAGCCCCCUUUUUGAGGCGAUGAAUGAGAACAACAAAACCGCCCAAGCAGGUGCGUUUAUGUGUAUGGCUAAGAUGGUGGAAUGUGCUACUGAUCUGCCUCCGGCAACGUUUCAGAAGCUUUGCCCUAGGGUCUGCAAGUAUUUGAACAAUCCUAAUUUCUUUGCCAAGGCUUCUCUGCUGCAAGUUGUCUCCAGCCUUUCUAAGAUCAAUGAGGGAUAACUCCAUAUUGGUAAGUGGAGAAAGUGGUGCUGGUAAAACAGAAACUACUAAGAUGCUUAUGCGGUAUCUUACCUAUUUGGGAGGUCGUAAAAAAACUGAAGGGCGGACAGUAGAAUAACAAGUUCUUGAGUCCAAUCCGGUACUGGAAUCAUUUGGUAAUGCAAAAACUGUAUGAAAUAACAAUUUAAGUCGCUUUGGUAAAUUUGUGGAAAUUCAGUUUGAUAAACAUGGACGAAUAUCUGGAGCAGCCAUAAGAACUUAUCUUAUUGAAAGAUCUCGAGUGUGCCAAAUUUCAGAUCCUGAACGCAAUUAUCACUGUUUCUAUCUUCUUUGUGCUGCUCCAAAUGAGGAUAUUGACAAGUACAAGCUAGGGCCUCUGAAGACAUUCCAUUAUCUCAAUCAAUCUAAUUGUAUUGAACUUGCUGGUGUGAAUGAUGCUCAUGAGUAUUUGGCUACCAGGAGGGCAAUGGAUGUUGUCGGAAUAAGUCAAAAGGACAAGGAUGCAAUUGUGGCAACUAUUCUCCAUCUUCGUAAUGUUGACUUUUCUAAGGGGCAGGAAAUUGAUUCGUCAGUUAUAAAGGAUGACGAAUCGAAAUUCCAUCUUAAGACAGUUGCAGAGCUUCUUAUGUAUGAUUGAAGCCCAUUUCAAGCCAUCAGUAUUUCUUAAAGCUUUACUAUUUCUGGAUUUUAUUAUAUUAUAUUUUAUUUUAUUACUACGUGUAAUCCUGUUGCACUGGAAGAUGCAAUACUGAAGCGUGUGAUGGUCACUCCUGAAGAAGUUAUUAAGAGAAGUCUUGAUCCUACUGCUGCAUUAACGACAUGUCUUCAAGAUGGAGCAGGAGGAGUACGAAAGAGAGGUGAUUGACUGGAGCUACAUAGAAUUUGUAGAUAACCAAGAUGUUCUUGAUCUUAUUGAAAAGCUGUUUCUGUAGAGCUAUACACAGUACAUCCCGCUACAAAUCAUUGAUCUCGAUUCCUGGUUGAAGACCCCCUCAAUAUAUGUUUUUGAUUGCUCUGUUGCUGGAUUUAUUGUGAAUGCCUUCAUUGAGCUCCAGGAAAAUAGUACCUCAAAGUUCUGGAUCUUCCAUGAGGGACUGUAUUUUGCUAGCAGCCUGUGAAGCUCAUGAGACGCUACCACAAAGUGCUGAGUUUCCUGCUGAUGUAUUUACUUCCUGCCUUACAACACCCAUAAAAAUGGCACUAAGAUGGUCCUGUUCUCAGUCACUUCUUCAUGAAUCAAUUGAUUAUUCUCUGAUUGAUAGAAUUCCUGGCCGCCAAACUAACAGGAAGACCCUUCUUGGGGAGUUGAACUGGAUAUUCACAGCUGUGACUGAUACUAUUAAAUGGAAUGUACUUCCUCAUGGAGACUUUGAAUGCUACAUAUUUAUUCAAGAGAUUGUUCAGGCAAAAUCUUUUGGUUGCCAGCCUGUUUCGAAAUUUUUUGCUUGCUGAAAGGAUAAUGCGGUCUGCAAAUUGUUUGCCAUUUUCACAUCCAAUGUUACCACCAACCCAUCAGCACCAUAUAUGGGAUGCAUGGGACAUGGCUAUACACUAAAAUAUGCCUUUCUCAGCUUCUGACAUUAGUUGAGGACCCAGAGGCCGAGUUCCAGGUGUCACACUUCCACUGGUCAAGGUCUUCGUGACAUCCGCCUCAGUCCCGGACACACCCUUUAUUUUGCCGACCAUUGCUGGGGUGACUACCCUUCGCGAUGUCGUUGGUGAAGAUCCUACUGAGUGGAACUACAAGGAUCUUACGCGCAACCCCUGAAGCGUAUCUACCGAUUCACCCAUGUUAGUUGCCCCGUUUGUCUUAUGGAUUGUAUGUCGUACCCAUUUUUGGAUGGAUUGUGUUGAGGCUGUGUGAACUAUAUGUGGAAUGGAUGCAUAGACCAUUGGAGUUUUAAUUCGUGUGGUGAAAGAUGUGGUUAUGGAUUGAUGGAUAUCCGUACUUGCUUAUUGUUAGGUUUGGUGUUUGAACUGUUAAGCACGUUUUAACGGAACAGGAUGUUGAUGUGUAGUGCUUGCUAGGCUUGUUUUAUGGGUUGCUUUACUUUGUUGUUAGGUAUGGAGAUUGUCCAGAAAAAACUAUGGUGUCCAUGUGCCUUAAUGUUGGGUUUAAUGUAUUUACUAUGAAUUAAUGUAUCCUAUAACAUGCUAUAUAAUAUAAAUGAAAAACAUUGA